rnacentral:misc_RNA from 1 species
GAUGAAGAACGCAGUGAAAUGCGAUAAGUAAUGUGAAUUGCAGAAUUCAGUGAAUCAUCGAAUCUUUGAACGCACAUUGCGCCCGCCAGCAUUCUGGCGGGCAUGCCUGUUCGAGCGUCAUUUCAACCCUCGAGCCCCCCCGGGGGCCUCGGUGUUGGGGGACGGCACACCAGCCGCCCCCGAAAUGCAGUGGCGACCCCGCCGCAGCCUCCCCUGCGUAGUAGCACACACCUCGCACCGGAGCGCGGAGGCGGUCACGCCGUAAAACGCCCAACUUUCUUAGAGUUGACCUCGGAUCAGGUAGGAAUACCCGCUGAACUUAAGAAUAUCAAUAAGCGGAGGA